rnacentral:rRNA from 1 species
UACGGAGGGGGCUAGCGUUGUUCGGAAUUACUGGGCGUAAAGCGCACGUAGGCGGAUCAGUCAGUCAGGGGUGAAAUCCCGGGGCUCAACCCCGGAACUGCCUUUGAUACUGCUGGUCUUGAGGUCGAGAGAGGUGAGUGGAAUUCCGAGUGUAGAGGUGAAAUUCGUAGAUAUUCGGAGGAACACCAGUGGCGAAGGCGGCU